rnacentral:rRNA from 1 species
CACGUAGGGCGCAAGCGUUGUCCGGAAUUAUUGGGCGUAAAGAGCGCGCAGGCGGUAUGACAAGUCAGAUGUGAAAGAGGCCGGCUUAACCGGCAAGGGUCAUUUGAAACUGUCAGACUAGAGUGCAGCAGAGGAUAGUGGAAUUCCCGGUGUAGUGGUGAAAUGCGUAGAUAUCGGGAGGAACACCAGUGGCGAAGGCGACUAUCUGGGCUGCAACUGACGCUGAGGCGCGAAGGCUAGGGUAGCAAACAGG